rnacentral:rRNA from 1 species
AGACUCGUACGGGAGGCAGUCAGUUGGGGAUAUUACACGAUGGAGGACACUCUGAUGUAGCCACGCCGCGUGGAGGAUGACACAUUUCGGUGCGUAAACUCCUAUUAUAUGGGAAGAUAACUGACGGUACCAUAUGGAUAAGCACCGGCUAACUCCGUGCCAGCAGCCGCAGAAAAAAUACGGAGGGUGCAAGCGUUACUCGGAAUCACUGGGCGUAAAGCGCGCGCAGGCGGCCCCUUAAGUUGGAUGUGAAAUCCUAUGGCUCAACCAUAGAACUGCAUCCAAAACUGAUGGGCUAGAGUCUGGGAGGGGAAGAUGGAAUUAGUGGUGUAGGGGUAAAAUCCGUAGAGAUCACUAGGAAUACCAAAAGCGAAGGCGAUCUUCUGGAACAGUACUGACGCUGAGGCGCGAAAGCGUGGGGAGCAAACAGGAUUAGAUACCACUGGUAGUCCACGCCCUAAACUAUGAAUGUUAGUCGUCGGGAGGCUUGUCCUUUCGGCUCCACCGCCGAAUCCACGCACUUCCACAUUCCGCGUGGGGAGUACGGUCGCAAGAUUAAACUCAAAGGAAUAGACGGGGACCCGCACAAGUGGUGGAGCAUGUGGUUUAAUUCGUAGAUACGCGAAGAACCUUACCUGGCCUUGACAUUGAUAGUAUCUGCUAGAGAUAGCGGAGUGCCCUUCGGGGAGCUUGAAAACAGGUGCUGCACGGCUGUCGUCAGCUCGUGUCGUGAGAUGUUGGGUUAAGUCCCGCAACGAGCGCAACCCUCGUCACUAGUUACUAACGGUUCGGCCGAGGACUCUAGUGAGACUGCCUUCGCAAGGAGGAGGAAGGUGAGGACGACGUCAAGUCAUCAUGGCCCUUACGGCCAGGGCGACACACGUGCUACAAUGGGAUGUACAAUGAGACGCGAUACCGCGAGGUGGAGCAAAUCUAUAAAGCAUCUCUCAGUUCGGAUUGUAGUCUGCAACUCGACUACAUGAAGCUGGAAUCACUAGUAAUCGUAGAUCAGCCAUGCUACGGUGAAUACGUUCCCGGGUCUUGUACUCACCGCCCGUCACACCAUGGGAGUUGAUUUCACCCGAAGCGGGGAAGCUAAACUGGCUACCCUCCACGGUGGAAU